rnacentral:tRNA from 1 species
GCGUCCAUAGCUCAAUGGAUAGAGCAACUCCCUUCUAAGGAGUAGGUUGCAGGUUCGACUCCUGCUGGACGCGCAA